rnacentral:rRNA from 1 species
GAUGAACGCUGGCGGCGUGCCUAAUACAUGCAGGUCGAGCGAACAGACGAGGAGCUUGCUCCUCUGACGUUAGCGGCGGACGGGUGAGUAACACGUGGAUAACCUACCUAUAAGACUGGGAUAACUUCGGGAAACCGGAGCUAAUACCGGAUAAUAUAUUGAACCGCAUGGUUCAAUAGUGAAAGACGGUUUUGCUGUCACUUAUAGAUGGAUCCGCGCCGCAUUAGCUAGUUGGUAAGGUAACGGCUUACCAAGGCAACGAUGCGUAGCCGACCUGAGAGGGUGAUCGGCCACACUGGAACUGAGACACGGUCCAGACUCCUACGGGAGGCAGCAGUAGGGAAUCUUCCGCAAUGGGCGAAAGCCCGACGGAGCAACGCCGCGUGAGUGAUGAAGGUCUUCGGAUCGUAAAACUCUGUUAUUAGGGAAGAACAAAUGUGUAAGUAACUAUGCACGUCUUGACGGUACCUAAUCAGAAAGCCACGGCUAACUACGUG